UCCGGGAGCCUAGUAGAGGUGCUGCAUGGCUGUCGUCAGCUCGUGUCGUGAGAUGUUGGGUUAAGUCCCGCAACGAACGCAACCCUUACCCUUAGUUGCCAGCGGGUAAUGCCGGGCACUCUAGCGAGACUGCCGGUAAUAAACCGGAGGAAGGUGGGAUGACGUCAAAUCAUCAUGCCCCUUAUGACCUGGGCUACACACGUGCUACAAUGGUUGGUACAACGAGUUGCGAGUCGGUGACGGCGAGCUAAUCUCUUAAAGCCAAUCUCAGUUCGGAUUGUAGGCUGCAACUCGCCUACAUGAAGUCGGAAUCGCUAGUAAUCGCGGAUCAGCACGCCGCGGUGAAUACGUUCCCGGGCCUU
rnacentral:rRNA from 1 species